rnacentral:rRNA from 1 species
UCAGGACGAACGCUGGCGGCGUGCUUAACACAUGCAAGUCAAGGAGAAAGGGAUCUUCGGAUUCCUGAGUAAACUGGCGGAUGGGUGAGUAACACGUAGGUAAUCUGCCUUUCGGACCGGGAUAACACGGCUAACGCGGUGCUAAUACCGGAUGUAGCGUUUGGAUCGCCUGAUUUGGGCGUGAAAGGUUGGCUUUUGCUAACGCCGAGAGAUGAGCCUGCGUCCCAUUAGCUAGUUGGUGAGGUAACGGCUCACCAAGGCAACGAUGGGUAGCCGGCCUGAGAGGGUGAACGGCCACACUGGGACUGAGAUACGGCCCAGACUCCUACGGGAGGCAGCAGUGAGGAAUAUUGCGCAAUGGACGAAAGUCUGACGCAGCAACGCCGCGUGAGGGAUGAAGCUCUUAGGAGUGUAAACCUUUUUUAGGAGGGAAGAACGGGUAGCAUUCGAACAGGGUGUUACUGUGACGGUACCUCCAGAAUAAGCCCCGGCUAACUCCGUGCCAGCAGCCGCGGUAAUACGGGGGGGGCUAGCGUUGUCCGGAAUUAUUGGGCGUAAAGGGCGCGUAGGCGGGAUAGUCAGUCUGAGGUGAAAGCCCAGGGCUUAACUCUGGGUUUGCCUUGGAUACUGCUAUUCUUGAGUUCGGCAGAGGGAAGUGGAAUUCCUGGUGUACCGGUGAAAUGCGUAGAUAUCAGGAAGAACACCGGUGGCGAAGGCGGCUUCCUGGUCCGAUACUGACGCUGAGGCGCGAAAGCGUGGGGAGCGAACAGGAUUAGAUACCCUGGUAGUCCACGCUGUAAACGAUGGGCACUAGGUGUUGGAUAUUGAUUUCAGCGCCGGAGCUAACGCAUUAAGUGCCCCGCCUGGGGAAUACGAUCGCAAGAUUGAAACUCAAAGGAAUUGACGGGGGCCCGCACAAGCGGUGGAGCAUGUGGUUUAAUUCGAUGCAACGCGAAGAACCUUACCUGGGCUUGAACUGCAUCUGACGAUCUCUGAAAGGGGAUUUUCCUUCGGGACAGGUGUAGAGGUGCUGCAUGGCUGUCGUCAGCUCGUGCCGUGAGGUGUUGGUUUAAGUCCCGCAACGAGCGCCAACCCCCUCCCCUUAGUGCCCAACCAGUUAAAGCUGGGGAAUUUUAAGGGGACUGCCCCGGAUAACGGGGAGGAAGGUGGGGAUGACGUCAAGUCAUCAUGGCCCUUACGUCCAGGGCUACACACGUGCUACAAUGGCCGGUACAGAGGGUAGCGAACCCGCGAGGCGAAGCCAAUCCCCAAAACCGGUCUCAGUUCGGAUUGUAGUCUGCAACUCGACUGCAUGAAGUUGGAAUCGCUAGUAAUCGCGGAUCAGCAUGCCGCGGUGAUACGUUCCCGGGCACUUGUACACACCGCCCGUCACGCCAUGGAAGUCGGUAGCACCCGAAGCCGGUGGCCCAAUCUUCGGAGGG